rnacentral:rRNA from 1 species
AACCUGCCCUUGACUUUGGGAUAACUUCAGGAAACUGGGGCUAAUACCGGAUAGGAGCUCCUGCUGCAUGGUGGGGGUUGGAAAGUUUCGGCGGUUGGGGAUGGACUCGCGGCUUAUCAGCUUGUUGGUGGGGUAGUGGCUUACCAAGGCUUUGACGGGUAGCCGGCCUGAGAGGGUGACCGGCCACAUUGGGACUGAGAUACGGCCCAGACUCCUACGGGAGGCAGCAGUGGGGAAUAUUGCACAAUGGGCGGAAGCCUGAUGCAGCAACGCCGCGUGCGGGAUGACGGCCUUCGGGUUGUAAACCGCUUUCGCCUGUGACGAAGCGUGAGUGACGGUAAUGGGUAAAGAAGCACCGGCUAACUACGUGCCAGCAUCCGCGGUGAUACGUAGGGUGCGAGCGUUGUCCGGAUUUAUUGGGCGUAAAGGGCUCGUAGGUGGUUGAUCGCGUC